rnacentral:piRNA from 1 species
ACUCGCUAUGCAAACGUAAGG